rnacentral:rRNA from 1 species
GAUGAACGCUGGCGGCGUGCCUAAUACAUGCAAGUCGAGCGAACAGACGAGGCGCUUGCUCCUCUGACGUUAGCGGCGGACGGGUGAGUCACACGUGUAUCAUCUACCUAUCUUACUGGGAUAACUUCGGGAAACCGGCGCUAAUCCCGGAUAAUAUCUUGAACCGCAUGGUUCAAUAGUGAAAGACGGUUUUGCUGUCUCUUAUAGAUGCAUCCGCGCCGCUUUAGCUAGUUGGUACGGUCACGGCUUACCACGGCGACGAUGCGUAGCCGACCUGAUAGGCGGAUCGGCCACAUGGGAACGGAGACAGGGUCCAGACUACUACGGGAGGCAGCAGAAGGGUAUCGUCCGCAGCAGGCGAAAGUCUGACGGAGCAACGCGGAGUGAGAGAUGAAGAUCUUCGGAGCGGAAUACUCGGUUAUUAGGUAAGAACAAAUGUCGAAGUAACUAUGCACUGAUUGACGGUAACGAAUCAGAAAGCCACGGCUAACUACGUG